UACGAAGGGGGCGAGCGUUGUUCGGAAUUACUGGGCGUAAAGGGCGUGCAGGCGGUGCGGUAAGUUUAGCGUGACAGUCUCCGGCUUAACUGGAGAAGGCCGCUGAAAACUGCUGGACUUGAGGGCCAGAGAGGGACAUAGAAUUCCGGGUGGAGUGGUGAAAUGCGUAGAUAUCCGGAGGAAUACCAAAGGCGAAGGCAGUGUCCUGGCUGGCAACUGACGCUGAGGCGCGAAAGCUAGGGGAGCGAACAGG
rnacentral:rRNA from 1 species